AUACGUAGGGGGCGAGCGUUGUCCGGAAUGAUUGGGCGUAAAGGGCGCGUAGGCGGCCCGGUAAGUCUGGUGUGAAAGUCCUGUUUUUAAGAUGGGAAUUGCUUUGGAUACUGUCGGGCUUGAGUGCAGGAGAGGUAAGUGGAAUUCCCAGUGUAGCGGUGAACUGCGUAGAGAUUGGGAGGAACACCAGUGGCGAAGGCGACUUACUGGACUGUAACUGACGCUGAGGCGCGAAAGUGUGGGGAGCAAACAGGAUUAGAUACCCUGGUAGUCCACACUGUAAACGAUGAAUGCUAGGUGUAGGGGGUAUCGACCCCUUCUGUGCCGCAGUCAACACAAUAAGCAUUCCGCCUGGGGAGUACGGCCGCAAGGUUGAAACUCAAAGGAAUUGACGGGG
rnacentral:rRNA from 1 species